UACGUAGGGUGCAAGCGUUGUCCGGAAUUAUUGGGCGUAAAGAGCUCGUAGGCGGUCUGUCGCGUCGGCUGUGAAAACCCGAGGCUCAACCUCGGGCCUGCAGUCGAUACGGGCAGACUAGAGUUCGGCAGGAGAGACUGGAAUUCCUGGUGUAGCGGUGAAAUGCGCAGAUAUCAGGAGGAACACCGGUGGCGAAGGCGGGUCGCUGGGACGUGACUGACGCUGAGACGCGAAAGCGUGGGGAGCAAACAGG
rnacentral:rRNA from 1 species